AUAAACAUAUAAUUGCUGUAUGUGAUCAAAACAAGGUAUGUCACAAGAAGCUCAACUAAUUAUGGAGAAUUCAUAGGGCAGAAAGGUGUGCUCAGUGUUAACAUACAGUUCAACACUGUUUCCAAGUUAUGAUUAUUAUUUACAUACAAAAAAUACAAGCUUAAAAAUAUGUGCAAUGUUCCAAAAACAAGAAUUACACAGGGAGAAACCCUACAGGUUGCACAUCCUUUUUUGUGCUGUACUUUAAUUCAGCCAUAUACACCAGGAUGAUUCUGACGAACAACUGUGGACUUACCCAGUCCCAACCCUGGACCAGAAAGUCAGAAGAAAACCAAAGUGAAUAUUAAAAGAUUUUAAAAGCACUGUCACUAGAGAUAAACUCUGAGGAGUAGCUGUCCUUUGUCACCUUCAAAGCUUGAAUGGCUGUAGGUUAAGAGAAGCUGACUGAUCCUCCUGCCUCAGGAGGUUGUGAUUUCCUCGGAUUAAGAGGAAAAGUGAAAGCUCAAAUUCCAGUUUUACAGUGAGAGCUCUGGGAAGCCUGUGGUCAGUUUGCUGGUGUGCUAUUACCAUUCGUGACUAAACUGAAACUGGUUCCUUAGCUUAGGAAAUUAAUUCUUUAAAUCUAGAACCAAAAAUUACACUAUUGUUAAAAAAGAACAAAAUUUGUUAGUUAAACCUGGUGGAAACCACUAUACAAACAUGUCUUUCAGAAAAAAAAAGUAGUUUGGACUUAUAAAACUGAACGUUGUAAUUAGAAUAUAUGAUAUUUUGUAAGUAGAAAAUUCUCUUAACAAAACCCCUUCAUGAGACAAAUCUGUUCAUUAGCUGUGCUGGGUUCAAGGUCAGAACUGUUAUGAUCAGUGCACCUCUUCAGCAAUGUGCAAUAUACUUCAAAGGAUCAAAUGCUCCCUAAAACUUUGAAGAUGGUGAUCUUCAUGGUAUUUGAAACUUUUCCUCCUUGGAGCAGAUGCCACAAACCAUCGUCUUGUGGAAAGAAGCCUCCUGGCUUAGUUCUUGCUCUGAGCUCAAACACCAAACACACACAUGCAGAAAACCAGCCCUUCCAGCAGCUCCUAAGCUCUUCAGACUACUGACCCCAGCUGAUACAGAGGAAUCUGUGGCCACCUGUAGUCACUCGUGAAGCUUCUACAGGCACUGGAACCAUACUGCAGUACUGCAGUGGCUAUAGAUAUUGAUUUGGGCAUAAAGGGCAAGAGGACCAGGUAUGAAUCUCAGCUGUAUACACUUAAUUGCUAAACAACCUACUUAACUUCUCUAAGCUUGUUUUUUUUUUUUUUUUCGAGACAGGGUUUCUCUGUGUAGCUCUGGCUGUACUGGAACUCACUCUGUAGACCAGGCUAGCCUCAACUCAGAAAUCCGCCUGCUUCUGCCUCCCAAGUGCUGGGAUUAAAGGUGUGCACCACCACUGCCCGGCAGCUUGUUUGUUUUUAACAUACAUUUAUGUAUGUAUAUAUGUGUGUACGGAUGUAUGUAUGUAUGUGCAUGCCACAGCAUGUCUGUGGAAGUUAGAGGACAACUUGCAAGAGUCAGUUCUCUCCUUCCAGCGCAGGUGGAUCUCGGAGAAUGAACUCAGGUUUGCCAGCAAGUGUCUAUACCUAUUGAACCAUUUGGCCCAGCCAGCUUCCUCUUCUAAGAACACAAAUAGUAAUUCUCAUCUUUACCACUGCACAGGCAUGUGCAUACACACGCGCGCGCGCGCGCACGCACACACACACACACACACACACACACACACACACGGGGGAGUGGGGAGAGCAAAAUAAUGCCUAUGUCAGAGGCCUGUUUGGGGAACAAUUUACUUGUCAAUUGGCACAAGCAGACACUUCAUAAAUGGUGGCUCUUAGAAUAAAUGCUGUCCACUCCUAUGUUCCUACACAGUGUUUUGAAAGAGGAAGUCACCUGACAGAUGCUUCCACAUUUUAAUUGCUGGCUCUGUAAGGUAGAAGGAAACUGUGGUAUUUCAACAGCCACUUUGUACCUGGGGCUAGGCUGUAGGUUGAGUAUAAUCAGGUUUCUGGUUUACAGUUGCUCCCCUUUGCAUUGAGUUAACUGCAGUGUCAUAAUUUCAGACGCUACUUGUCAGAUGGUACAUAACCACUGGGCUUGUUUAUGGGUUGAAAAGCAAGUAAGUGCUACUACAGUUAAGCCGACAGUUAAGCUAGUGUACAGAACAAGAUGCACAACUGCUUACCAGAACGGGCAAAUUCCUAAUUCAGCAUGGGCCAGUUUCCCCCAAGACUUGAAGAGAACCUGACCACUUACUUGUUCUAAAUUUUUCCUUGAGGACAUCCAGAUCCUCCUUGAGAGCCAUUUGCAUCCACACCAAGCCCACAGAGGCCACAACGCAGGCUGCGAGGAUGACAAAGGCACAGAGGGGACAGCAGAUCUUGCAGCAUCGGGCAUAGUCUCCCCUGUUGGAAGAAAACAUUCACCAAUGAGCGAGAAGGUAGCUGUGAUGAGAACAGCUUUAUUAGCAACAGUAUGCUCCUAUGCGAUUAUCUUCUCUAAUGAAUGACCAAUGAAUUUACCAAGGAUCACAGGAUAACACACUUGCGUCUAAUAGGAGGAGGUUGCAAAUUACUGAAUAUGACCCGUGAAAAGUUCUACGGGGUACAAAGGUUUCAAACUGCACAGGAAACAGGGAGUUCCCGUGGGCCAUGGGAAGAGCUUGCAGGUUCUAGAUCACUGCUGUCAAUUCAGGAAGGUGGUCUUUGGAGCAGAACUCGGUUUGAGAAGUGUAAAUGACAAGAAGGGCCCAGUGGCCCAUCUGCAAUCCAAGUACCUGGGAGUCUGAGGAAGAGGGAUUGCCAAGUUCUAUGCCUACUACUAGAACCUAGCUCAAUCCUUAGUAGUAAUAAGAUAAAAAGAAAGAAUGGACAGAAAGAAGGGUAAAAAUGAGUGGUUCUAUGGAAUUCUAUCCCUUCACUGUAAUUUAUCCCCUUCCACACCCUCACCCCCCCCAUACAUGCUCACUUAGCCCAGGAGACCUUGCCUCAUUUAUUGAAACUUCACAAACUCUUGACCAAGUUUUACUGCAAAUGGAAUGAGAGAAACUAGAUCUGCUGGCUUAAGUGGACACCUGAUAUUCUUUAACUUAACUGCCUUGGCAGUACAGAAAUAGAAGCACACUAGAUUUCACAUCAAACUUCAUCUAGUUUUCAGUUCUAAACUAAGGCAGCAGGGCAACUUUCGAGACUCACACUUCAUCAGAUGACCUUCACAACACAAACUUGGAAAAGUCCUUAACUAACCAGUCUUAACAAAAGCACACAGAUUCUGAGCCCGCUAAAAGAUCACAAAUCUUUUAGGACCCAAGCCCUUUGCCUAACUCUGGUCUCUACACCCCAACGGACUCCCUUUGCUUUUAGUUUGCUCUCUGACAGGUCCAAAUGGCUGAGGUUUCCUUCAGUUGCCUCACAAACUGACCUCUUAAUCCCCCAAUCCUCAAAGCUCAUUUGUUUAGUGGUUGCUCUACCUGAAACUGGUUUGGUAAAAAAGACUGCUCCCCCCACCCCCAUAUUAUUUAUCGAAGGUUCACACUUUCAACAGUAAGCCCUUCACCAUAUUCUCCUAUCACCAAUAUCUAAGCUGGUUAAGAAACACAAAACGAGUAUUGGUCUUAAGGUCCCUUGACCUACUUUUUAAAAAUGCCUAGCCCCAAGAGCCUCUCUGCUCCUCUGUCUCCAUGAGUAACCUUUUUAAUUCCUUCUUGGGCUAUGAGCCCAUUCCCCAAGUCCACACUUCCACCCUAGAUUUGAAGCUCUUGUUAGACAUUAGAGUGACUGCUUACUCUUUAUUAAGAGUUAGAACUUGCCCUGUCCAACAUCCUUUCUCCCUGUUUUCCAAGGCCUACUUCCCUUUUUCUUCCAAGGGACUCCCCUCUCCUUCUCAUCCAUUUGCCCGGCUGGUAGUAGUGCAAGAUGCCUUUUGCCCAUUUCAGCCCUCCCCACUGCUACACUCACUUGACAAAACGAGAGCGAUUUCCAAUUGCUCCAAAUUCCUCUUCGUCUGUGCUGGACUCUGAGUCUGAGUCAGGAGGCUCAGUGCGAAGCAGGCGGUGGCUGCCUGAGCCUUGCUUGGUCUUCUUUCUCCGAUGGUCACCAGCCAGGCCGAUCAACGCAUUGAGCUCUUUGCGCUUUUUCAUCUUUUUGUGGGGGGUGAGUGGCGGGCCCACUCCUGAGCUGCCAGGUUCGUAGCCAACACCCAACUCUCUCGCUGACUUGGAGCUGCCUUCCAGGGUUGGAAAUCCUGGGCCUGAGCCCCCUGAUCACUCCCACCCAGAGGUGGGACUGACCAGAUCUACUGAGGGCUGGAGAAUAGAGCCCAGAGAAAAUUGGACUCAGGUGGAUGGGGGAUGGGGGGUGGGGGAAGUUACAUAGAGAUGGCCAAGGAACUGGAGAUCUAAAUGGAUAAAUUUCUGAAACAACUAUUACCUGUCAAAAGGAAAACGAAACAAAACAACCCGCUAAGUCAAGCACGAGAUUCUAAGUCGUGUAGGCAACC
rnacentral:lncRNA from 1 species